rnacentral:rRNA from 1 species
UYCUACGGSAGGCAGCAGUAGGGAAUCUUCCGCAAUGGGCGAAAGCCUGACGGAGCAACGCCGCGUGAGUGAUGAAGGUCUUCGGAUCGUAAAACUCUGUUGUUAGGGAAGAACAAAUUUGUUAGUAACUGAMCAAGUCUUGACGGUMCCUAMCCAGAAAGCCACGGCUAACUACGUGCCASCAGCCGCGGUAAUACGUAGGUGSCAAGCGUUAUCCGGAAUUAUUGGGCGUAAAGCGCGCGYAGGCGGUUUCUUAAGUCUGAUGUGAAAGCCCASGGCUCAACCGUGGAGGGUCAUUGGAAACUGGSAAACUUGAGUGCAGAAGAGGAGAGUGGAAUUCC